rnacentral:rRNA from 1 species
UACGGAGGGGGGCUAGCGUUGUUCGGAAUUACUGGGCGUAAAGCGCACGUAGGCGGACUGUUAAGUCGGGUGUGAAAUCUCGGGGCUUAACUCCGAAACUGCAUUCGAUACUGCCGUGCUUGAGGACUGGAGAGGAGACUGGAAUUUACGGUGUAGCGGUGAAAUGCGCAGAUAUCAGGAGGAACACCGGUGGCGAAGGCGGGUCUCUGGGCCGAUACUGACGCUGAGGAGCGAAAGCGUGGGGAGCGAACAGG